rnacentral:rRNA from 1 species
AAUAGAUACCCAGGUAGUCCACGCCGUAAACGAUGAGUGCUAGGUGUUGGGGGGGUCCACCCCUCGGUGCCGAAGUUAACACAUUAAGCACUCCGCCUGGGGAGUACGGUCGCAAGACUGAAACUCAAAGGAAUUGACGGGGACCCGCACAAGCAGUGGAGUAUGUGGUUUAAUUCGAAGCAACGCGAAGAACCUUACCAGGUCUUGACAUCCCUCUGAAUCGUCUAGAGAUAGGCGCGGCCUUCGGGACAGAGGAGACAGGUGGUGCAUGGUUGUCGUCAGCUCGUGUCGUGAGAUGUUGGGUUAAGUCCCGCAACGAGCGCAACCCUUGAUCUUAGUUGCCAGCACGUUAUGGUGGGCACUCUAAGGUGACUGCCGGUGACAAACCGGAGGAAGGUGGGGAUGACGUCAAAUCAUCAUGCCCCUUAUGACCUGGGCUACACACGUACUACAAUGGCCGGUACAACGGGCAGCGAAGGAGCGAUCUGGAGCCAAUCCUCUAAAGCCGGUCUCAGUUCGGAUUGCAGG